UACAGAGGUGCCAAGCGUUGUUCGGAUUUAUUGGGCGUAAAGGGUGUGUAGGCGGUCAUGAAAGUCGGGUGUGAAAUACCGGAGCCUAACUCCGGAACGGCAUUCGAAACUCCAUGGCUCGAGAUCUGGAGAGGUGACUGGAAUUCUCGGUGUAGCAGUGAAAUGCGUAGAGAUGCGGAGGAACACCGAUGGCGAAGGCAGCCCCCUGGGCCAAUACUGACGCUCAGGCACGAAAGCGUGGGGAGCAAACAGG
rnacentral:rRNA from 1 species